AUAUCAAUAAGCGGAGGAAAAGAAACCAACAGGGAUUGCCUCAGUAACGGCGAGUGAAGCGGCAACAGCUCAAAUUUGAAAUCUGGCUCUUUCGGGGUCCGAGUUGUAAUUUGUAGAAGAUGCUUCGGGUGUGGCUCCGGUCUAAGUUCCUUGGAACAGGACGUCAUAGAGGGUGAGAAUCCCGUAUGUGACUGGCUGCCUCCGCCCAUGUGAAGCUCUUUCGACGAGUCGAGUUGUUUGGGAAUGCAGCUCAAAAUGGGUGGUAAAUUUCAUCUAAAGCUAAAUAUUGGCCAGAGACCGAUAGCGCACAAGUACCGUGAGGGAAAGAUGAAAAGCACUUUGGAAAGAGAGUUAAACAGUAC
rnacentral:rRNA from 1 species